rnacentral:rRNA from 1 species
CCUGAGUACGACGGAGCACGUGAAAUUCCGUCGGAAUCUGGGAGGACCAUCUCCUAAGGCUAAAUACUCUCUAGUGACCGAUAGUGAACCAGUACCGUGAGGGAAAGGUGAAAAGCACCCCGGAAGGGGAGUGAAAUAGAACCUGAAACCGUGUGCUUACAAGUAGUCAGAGCCCGUUAAUGGGUGAUGGCGUGCCUUUUGUAGAAUGAACCGGCGAGUUACGAUUUGAUGCAAGGUUAAGCAGUAAAUGUGGAGCCGUAGCGAAAGCGAGUCUGAAUAGGGCGUUUAGUAUUUGGUCGUAGACCCGAAACCAGGUGAUCUACCCUUGGUCAGGUUGAAGUUCAGGUAACACUGAAUGGAGGACCGAACCGACUUACGUUGAAAAGUGAGCGGAUGAACUGAGGGUAGCGGAGAAAUUC